rnacentral:rRNA from 1 species
GGCUAGAGUUUGAUCAUGGCUCAGGAUAAACGCUGGCGGCGCACAUAAGACAUGCAAGUCGAACGGACUUAACUCAUUCUUUUAGAUUGAGAGCGGUUAGUGGCGGACUGGUGAGUAACACGUAAGCAACCUGCCUAUUAGAGGGGAAUAACAGUGAGAAAUCAUUGCUAAUACCGCAUAUGCUAACAGUAUCGCAUGAUACAGUUAGGAAAGGAGCAAUCCGCUAAUAGAUGGGCUUGCGUCUGAUUAGCUAGUUGGUGGGGUAACGGCCUACCAAGGCGACGAUCAGUAGCCGGACCGAGAGGUUGAACGGCCACAUUGGGACUGAGAUACGGCCCAGACUCCUACGGGAGGCAGCAGUCGGGAAUAUUGCGCAAUGGAGGAAACUCUGACGCAGUGACGCCGCGUAUAGGAAGAAGGUUUUCGGAUUGUAAACUAUUGUCGUUAGGGAAGAUACAAGACAGUACCUAAGGAGGAAGCCCCGGCUAACUAUGUGCCAGCAGCCGCGGUAAUACAUAGGGGGCAAGCGUUAUCCGGAUUUAUUGGGUGUAAAGGGUGCGUAGAUGGAGGAGCAAGUUGGUUGUGAAAUCCCUCGGCUCAACUGAGGAACUGCAACCAAAACUACUUCCCUUGAGUGUCGGAGAGGAAAGUGGAAUUCCUAGUGUAGCGGUGAAAUGCGUAGAUAUUAGGAGGAACACCAGUGGCGAAGGCGACUUUCUGGACGAUAACUGACAUUGAGGCACGAAAGUGUGGGGAGCAAACAGGAUUAGAUACCCUGGUAGUCCACACUNGUAACGAUGGAUACUAGGUGUAGGAUGUAUUAAGCAUUCUGUGCCGCCCGCUACGCAUUAAGUAUCCCACCUGGGGAGUACGACCGC